AACAAAAAGGCAUCUUUUUGUUUUUAAAAGACCUUCUUACGAAGGUAUGCUUAAAGAGGGGCUUGCGCCACAUUAGUUAGUUGGUAGAGUAAAAGCCUACCAAGACGAUGAUGUGUAGCUGGACUGAGAGGUUGAACAGCCACAUUGGGACUGAGACACGGCCCAAACUCCUACGGGAGGCAGCAGUAGGGAAUUUUCGGCAAUGGAGGAAACUCUGACCGAGCAACGCCGCGUGAACGAUGAAGUAUUUCGGUAUGUAAAGUUCUUUUAUUGAAGAAGAAAAAGUAGUGGAAAAACUAUAUUGACGUUAUUCAAUGAAUAAGCCCCGGCUAACUAUGUGCCAGCAGCCGCGGUAAGACAUAGGGGGCGAGCGUUAUCCGGAAUUAUUGGGCGUAAAGGGUGCGUAGGCUGUUAGAUAAGUCUAUAAUUUAAUUUCAGUGCUUAACGCUGUCUUGUUAUAGAAACUGUCUUGACUAGAGUGAGAUAGAGGCAAGCGGAAUUCCAUGUGUAGCGGUAAAAUGUGUAAAUAUAUGGAGGAACACCAGAAGCGUAGGCGGCUUGCUGGGUCUUUACUGACGCUGAGGCACGAAAGCGUGGGUAGCAAACAGGAUUAGAUACCCUGGUAGUCCACGCCGUAAACGAUGAGUACUAAGUGUCGGGGUAAAACUCGGUACUGAAGUUAACACAUUAAGUACUCCGCCUGAGUAGUACGUACGCAAGUAUGAAACUUAAAGGAAUUGACGGGACUCCGCACAAGCGGUGGAUCAUGUUGUUUAAUUCGAAGAUACACGAAAAAUCUUACCAGGUCUUGACAUACUCUGCAAAGCUAUAGAAAUAUAGUGGAGGUUAUCAGGGAUACAGGUGGUGCAUGGUUGUCGUCAGUUCGUGUCGUGAGAUGUUAGGUUAAGUCCUAAAACGAACGCAACCCUUGUCGUUAAUUGCCAGCACAUAAUGGUGGGGACUUUAACGAGACUGCCAAUUAAACAUUGGAGGAAGGUGAGGAUUACGUCAAAUCAUCAUGCCCCUUAUGAUCUGGGCUACAAACGUGAUACAAUGGCUGUGACAAAGAGUAGCUGAAACGCGAGUUUUUAGCCAAUCUCAAAAAAGCAGUCUCAGUUCGGAUUGAAGUCUGUAACUCGACUUCAUGAAGUUGGAAUCGCUAGUAAUCGCGAAUCAGCAUGUCGCGGUGAAUACGUUCUCGGGGUUUGUACACACCGCCCGUCAAACCACGAAAGUUAGCAAUGCCCGAAAGCAGUAGCUUAACUUCGCAAGAAGAGGGAACUGUCUAAGGUAGGGUUGAUGAUUGGGGUUAAGUCGUA
rnacentral:rRNA from 1 species